rnacentral:rRNA from 1 species
GACGAACGCUGGCGGCGUGCCUAAUACAUGCAAGUAGAACGAACAGUUUAUACCGUUGCUUGCUACACCAUAGACUGUGAGUUGCGAACGGGUGAGUAACGCGUAGGUAACCUGACUGGUAGCGGGGGGUGACUCUUGGAAACGAUAGCUAAUACCGCAUAAUAUUGAUUAUUGAAUGAUAAUUGAUUGUAAGAUGCUAUUGCAUCACUACCAGCUGGACCUGGGGUGUAGUAGCUAGUAGGAGAGGUAACGGCUGACCUAAGCGACGAAUGAGAGCCGACCGUGAAGGGGGGUCGGCCAAACCGGGACUGGAACAAGGCCCAGACCCCUACGGGAGGGAGCCGUAGGGAAUCUUCGGCAAAGGACGAAAGUCUUACCGAGCAACGCCGCGGGAGGUAAGAAGGUUUUCGGAUCGUAAAGAUCUGUUGUAAGAGAAGAACGGGUGUGAUAGUGAAAAGUGCACACUGUGACGGUAUCUUACCAGAAAGGGACGGCUAACUACGUG